UCCCCUUCUGUCCCCCCAACACGGGGACGGGGCGGGCUGUCGGUCAGCGCCACCGCGCCCCCGCAUCAAGAUCCCCGGCGCUGACGUGCUCUUCCAGCGGGGAGGAGGGGCCCAGGACGCGCUAGGUCCGCAGCCAGUGCGGAGAAAGGGCCCUGGGCUCGGCUCCCAAGCUCAGGCAGGACUCCCGCCGGGGGUCGGAGCUGCGGUCACUCGCGGCUUCGGGGCCGUGGCGUCCCGCGCUCAGCUUCCGCGCCUCUGCAAGGCGCUCUGAAGAAAUGGAGGUGAACAGAGGAACAGCCACUCCCAGCAAGAAAGGGAAGAAGAAUCUUGAAAGCCUGUGACUUCACAGAGACUUCUUGGUUGAUGCCCCUGAAAUCAGCCUGCCAAGUGUGGCCUCUGCAGCAUAAAUACAAGGAGUCUGAUGAUACAA